rnacentral:rRNA from 1 species
UGAGGAAUAUUGGUCAAUGGGCGAGAGCCUGAACCAGCCAAGUCGCGUGAGGGAAGAAUGGUCUAUGGCCUGUAAACCUCUUUUGUCAAGGAAGAAUAAGGAUGACGAGUCAUUCGAUGCCAGUACUUGACGAAUAAGCAUCGGCUAACUCCGUGCCAGCAGCCGCGGUAAUACGGGGGAUGCGAGCGUUAUCCGGAUUUAUUGGGUUUAAAGGGCGCGUAGGCGGGACGGCAAGUCAGCGGUAAAAGACUGCAGCUAAACUGUAGCACGCCGUUGAAACUGUUGACCUCGAGACGAGACGAGGGAGGCGGAACAAGUGAAGUAGCGGUGAAAUGCAUAGAUAUCACUUGGAACCCCGAUAGCGAAGGCAGCUUCCCAGGCUCGUUCUGACGCUGAUGCGCGAGAGCGUGGGUAGCGAACAGGAUUAGAUACCCUGGUAGUCCACGCCGUAAACGAUGCUCACUGGAUCUUGGCGAUACACGGCCAGGGUUCAAGCGAAAGUAUUAAGUGAGCCACCUGAGGAGUACGUCGGCAACGAUGAAACUCAAAGGAAUUGACGGGGGCCCGCACAAGCGGAGGAACAUGUGGUUUAAUUCGAUGAUACGCGAGGAACCUUACCCGGGUUUAAAUGUAGAUUGCAUGAGGUGGAGACACUUCUUCCCUUCGGGGCUAUUUACAAGGUGCUGCAUGGUUGUCGUCAGCUCGUGCCGUGAGGUGUCGGGUUAAGUCCCAUAACGAGCGCAACCCCUAUCGCCAGUUGCCAUCGGUUCAAGCCGGGCACUCUGUCGAGACUGCCACCGUAAGGUGCGAGGAAGGCGGGGAUGACGUCAAAUCAGCACGGCCCUUACACCCGGGGCGACACACGUGUUACAAUGGCCGGUACAGAGGGCAGCCACGGGGUGACCCGGAGCGAAUCUCUAAAGCCGGUCGUAGUUCGGACUGGAGUCUGCAACCCGACUCCACGAAGUUGGAUUCGCUAGUAAUCGCGCAUCAGCCAUGGCGCGGUGAAUACGUUCCC